AUCGCUUCUCGGCCUUUUGGCUAAGAUCAAGUGUAAAAAAACAAUGUCCAUACUUUAAUUAAAAAAUACUUUAUUGUUAGGAUGGCUCAGUUGGUUGAGCAUCGAACUUCGGCUCAGGUCAUGAUCUCAC
rnacentral:snRNA from 1 species